rnacentral:rRNA from 1 species
UGGGGAAUAUUGCACAAUGGGCGGAAGCCUGAUGCAGCGACGCCGCGUGAGGGAUGACGGCCUUCGGGUUGUAAACCUCUUUCAGCAGGGACGAAGCGCAAGUGACGGUACCUGCAGAAGAAGCGCCGGCCAACUACGUG